UUGGACUGAUUCGGGCUCGGCCCGAUCCUCCCACCCUUUGUGUACCUACCUCUGUUGCUUUGGCGGGCCGCGGUCCCCCGCGGCCGCCCCCCCUCCCCGGGGGGUGGCUAGUGCCCGCCAGAGGACCAUCAAACUCCAGUCAGUGAACGUCGCAGUCUGAAAAAACAUUCAAUAAACUAAAACUUUCAACAACGGAUCUCUUGGUUCUGGCAUCGAUGAAGAACGCAGCGAAAUGCGAUAAGUAAUGUGAAUUGCAGAAUUCAGUGAAUCAUCGAAUCUUUGAACGCACAUUGCGCCCCUUGGUAUUCCGAGGGGCAUGCCUGUUCGAGCGUCAUUACAACCCUCAAGCUCUGCUUGGUAUUGGGCACCGCCCUUCUUCGGGCGCGCCUCAAAGACCUCGGCGGUGGCUGUCUUGCCUCAAGCGUAGUAGAAUACACCUCGCUUCGGAGCGCAGGGCGUCGCCCGCCGGACGAACCUUCUGAACUUUUCUCAAGGUUGACCUCGGAUCAGGUAGGGAUACCCGCUGAACUUAAGCAUAUCAUAAGCGCACGA
rnacentral:rRNA from 1 species